UUUGGUUUCAGCUACGUAGUGACCUGCGGAGGAUCAUUAAUGAGGGCGUGUGGGCUAACAUCCCCACGAA
rnacentral:rRNA from 1 species